UGCACCUACGGGGGGCAGCAGUGGGGAAUAUUGGGCAAUGGGCGCAAGCCUGACCCAGCAACGCCGCGUGAAGGAAGAAGGCUUUCGGGUUGUAAACUUCUUUUCUCAGGGACGAAGAAAGUGACGGUACCUGAGGAAUAAGCCACGGCUAACUACGUGCCAGCAGCCGCGGUAAUACGUAGGUGGCAAGCGUUAUCCGGAUUUACUGGGUGUAACGGGCGUGUAGGCGGGACUGCAAGUCAGAUGUGAAAACCACGGGCUCAACCUGUGUCCUGCCUUUGAAACUGUAGUUCUUGAGUACUGGG
rnacentral:rRNA from 1 species